rnacentral:lncRNA from 1 species
GAUACAGUUUGUUCAGGGCAUGCUUCAUUAAUAACUUUAAGAUGAAAAUUGAUCUGAUGACACACUGAAUCACCAAUGUCCCCUUAGACAGCUCUAAAACAUACUUAGUAAUAUAAUCCAUUAGCUUUUAUAUGUAUGAUAUAAUCUGUUAUUAAUAUCGUACAAUAUCUGUGCAUGGACAGCAGUAAUGGCACUAUCAUAAAUAUAGAAAAAGCAUAUUAUUAUUAUUAUUAUUAUUAUUAUUAUUAUUAUUUCAAUUAAUGAAGACAGAGUGCAGUCCAUUGAGGACCUUUUCUUGUGAGACAAGUAGAUAGUUAAUUCAAUCCACUACACCAUGACUCCAGAAAAGGCAGGCCUUUUGCAAUGGUGACUGCAUCUAUUUACUUAGACAACCUUCCAGUUGUAGGAACAAACCAUCCCAUAUGCAACCAGACAGCUCCAUUCUGUUUUCACCGGCCCUGUGAGAUCUACACACUCAGUUCUGGGUGAGAAGACACAGAAUGGACUCACAAUUGCUGAUGUAUAGGUUCUAAUGUUUUCUAUUGUGGACACGGGACACCCAGACUGAGAACCAAUGGCUCCAGUCUGAUUUAAACAUGGGUCCGUGCUCACACACUCAAUACCUACCCUCUGUGCUCACAAGUCCUGUGUGAGUAAGACUCCAAAUUAUUCUGUCUUGUUUUACUCAAUGGUAUGCUCUACCUUAUUAUAGAGUAUACCAUGUAUUGAGACAAGAAUGCCAGUCAUUCUGAGAAACAAAAUGCAACCAUUAGUUGUCAUUUUAAUUAGUGACGAAUAGUUGUGUCAAUCAUCAAACAUGCUUGUAUAAUUGGAUGAGAAGAGGUGUAACACGGGCCAAUGAUGACGAGGUUUCGGGAUUAUAAGUCACGGACGAUGACUACGUCACUAGAGGUCUGAGGUCCAUAGCAGAAGAUGCCUCAUGUGACCCUCUCAUGCAGGGGUUGCAUGUCAGGCAUGUGCAUACAGUAGAUAUUAGCCAUGCACUCUCACCAUUUCAUAGUAGAUCACAGAAUCAAGAUACAAAUCUCCAUGCACGGAAAGGAUUUAAGGCAUUGAUCAAUCCUGAACAUAAAUAUUUGGCCAUCAAUGAUAUUUACGCACACACUGAAAAAUCUAUUCAGAAUGACUUACACAAAGGUUUAUAUAACCUUUAUCAAAGGUAAUUUAUAUAGUAAGAUUCAUGGCUGAAGUCUUCAUGAUGGUCAAGGCCUUAAUUUUUAAAAUUAUCAAUUUUUUUCUUUUCUUUUUUUUUAACUUGAAUUUUUUUUUAAUGAAAACUAUCAUGACAAUUUGUCUCUUAAAUGAAAGGAGAAAUGUAAAA